CCUUCCUAGGAGAUCUAAGAACCUUCUCGGCCUAGGCUGGGUUGCCAGCGCCCUCUCGUGAGCAGAUCUGACCCGUCACAGAGCCAGGAAAUGACGUCGUCAGGAAAUUGCAAAAUCAAAAUAGCAACGAGGCAAGCACCUAAAUAUUAAGGGUUGACCUUGAUCAGGGCCUUGGAUGCCGACCUGCAGGCCGCACGAGGCUUACCCCCUCCACCCUUGCAGCACCCCCAUGGAGGGAGCCGUGCUACUUCUGCCAUUUUAGAGAUCCCUUGUCCAAGGCCGCCCAGCUCCCACCCAAGCCCUGAACUCAGGCAGCGGGAUUCCAAGGCGUCUUCAGAACUCACCACUACCGUGUCCCAUCAGAGGAAAAUGACUUUAAGAGGCCAUAGAGUUCUUUUCUUCAUGGAGCGACUCAAAGGACUAAUGUUGCAGGGAACUCACUUCUGGAAACACCGUUCUAGCUCAUUGAUGCUCGGCUUGUAGGCGAGGAAAUGAAGACCCAGGGAGCUAGUGGACCCGGGGACUCAGACACUCGUCAAAAGAAAGACCAGCUCAUGACUGACCCCACCGUCAAGGAACCUUUGGAAUGGGGGCAGGUUCCAUCUACUGAGGCUGAUGUGAUGUGGAAUCAGGAUCAGGUUCAUGUCCACAAGCUCGCGUGGCAAGCACUGCUAUGAUGCCCGUCUGCAGAUGAGGAAACUGAGACACGAGCAUCAAAUAAGUUGCACGAGGCCACAGAACUAGUAAGUAUGGGAGCCAGCUUUGAAAUCCAAGGGGCCUGGACCC
rnacentral:lncRNA from 12 species